UCCAUAAAGUAGAAAGCACUACUAAACCCCUCGCCACAGUGUAGUGUUUCCUACUUUAUGGAUG
rnacentral:pre_miRNA from 1 species